rnacentral:rRNA from 1 species
GACGAACGCUGGCGGCGUGCUUAACACAUGCAAGUCGAACGGAAAGGCCCCUGCUUGCAGGGGUACUCGAGUGGCGAACGGGUGAGUAACACGUGGGUGAUCUGCCCUUCACUUCGGGAUAAGCCUGGGAAACUGGGUCUAAUACCGGAUAGGACCAAUCUUUAGUGUGGUUGGUGGAAAGUUUUUUCGGUGGAGGAUGAGCCCGCGGCCUAUCAGCUUGUUGGUGGGGUAAUGGCCUACCAAGGCGACGACGGGUAGCCGGCCUGAGAGGGUGGACGGCCACAUUGGGACUGAGACACGGCCCAGACUCCUACGGGAGGCAGCAGUGGGGAAUAUUGCACAAUGGGCGGAAGCCUGAUGCAGCGACGCCGCGUGAGGGAUGACGGCCUUCGGGUUGUAAACCUCUUUCGCUAGGGAAGAAGCCUUCGGGUGACGGUACCUGGAUAAGAAGCACCGGCUAACUACGUGCCAGCAGCCGCGGUAACAC